UUGCAACAACCCAAUAUAGCACAUGCAAGCUCAAAAGUAUCGCAACAAAGUUACCAACUGUUGCAACAAUUAUGUUGUCAGCAACUGUGGCAGACCCCCGAGCAGUCACGGUGCCAAGCCAUCCACAAUGUCAUUCAUGCUAUUAUUUUGCAUCAACAACAACAACAACAACAACAACAACAACAACAACAACAACAACAACCGUCGAGCCAGGUCUCCUACCAGCAGCCUCAGCAACAAUAUCCAUCAGGCCAGGGCUUCUUCCAGCCAUCUCAGCAAAACCCACAGGCCCAGGGCUUUGUCCAACCUCAGCAACUGCCGCAGUUCGAGGAAAUAAGGAACCUAGCGCUGCAGACGCUACCAGCAAUGUGCAAUGUCUACAUCCCUCCAUAUUGCUCGACCACCAUUGCGCCAUUUGGCAUCAUGAGUACUAACUGA
rnacentral:rRNA from 1 species